AAGAAUGUAUUGGGGGACUAGUUUACCUUUAGUAUGCCUCAGCUUCUGCUGAGUUUACCUGCAUGGUGACUACAUAAAUGUAAGUCUGCAGACCAGCUCCCUACCCAAAACAAUGGGGAAAAAUUAGGGGUUUGCAGAUCUCUGACUGCUAGCUGCAUCAGCUGCCAUAAGAGAGACUGCCCAAGAGAGGGGGAGACACUGCAGAUUUGCCCACCUUUCCUAGAAAACUUCCAUUUGAUCAACGUAAAAGUCUAAGAAGAAUUCAGAACAAUGAGAAAAGCCACCUACACCUGGCCAUCAAUAGACAAAGAGUGUGAGCUGCCUGAGAACUUAUAUAAGGAAGAACAAAAGUUUUUUUCAGUGCCUUGGAUAUGUUUUUAGAUUAAUCUGAAAUAAACCUGUUAAGGUCGUUCUUUUGUAUAUACAAUGGACUGGUAGUCACUCUAAUCUCAGGCAAGAAAGAAAUGUACUUCAAAGCUCAUGUAAUGCUCAGAGAAGCUUCCACUUCCAGGGCUUUAUUCAGACUGAUCGUACUUUGCUUGCCUUUCUGUGUUCUGAUAUUUUAUGAACAGAUGGAAUGUUCUGCAAAUUGGGAUGUGCACAUAUAUGUGGUUGUUGAAAGAGAAAAUGUUACUUAGACUAACAGGAGUUCUUAGGUACACCAUCUUUAUUCAUGUGGUGUAACUAAUCUAGCAUCAACCUGUGCCUUAGAGUUUUGUGUGACUCUAUCUUGAGUCAGUGGGAAAUUGGGAUGUGGUUUUUGUGAGUGUCUCUGAGCCUUUCCUUUCAAAUGCAAAGAUUUGGGAUGCACAUGCAGAGAAAAGUGCUUCUCCCAUAGGAUUCACAAGUAUAAGCUGUGGAAUGUGCAUAUGAAAAAUAAAUCUUGAAAAGUUCUCAUUCGUGUAAGGAAUUCUAUUGGAUGUAGGAGUCGCGUAGCACUAAGCACAUUAUUGUGGAAAUGGUGAACAACAACAUGCAAAAGGCUUUUAAAAUGUCAGGAGAGCACGGAUGCAAUAACAAUUGCACUAGUUUCAGGACACGAGACUUACAGAGACCUGGGCCUGCUGUGAUCCUCUUGUAGUAUGACCACCUUUUUCAUAUUCACAAUUUUGGAAAAAGAAGCAAUAUCUGAAUGAAAUAUCUAUUUCUGUUUUAUACUAUAGAAAGUAGUAUUUCAAGGUUUGUUCAUUCCAACAAUUCCUGUCGUUAUUACUGUUUUUUUAAUUAUUAUUUUUUAAUCUGUGAAGAACCUAUGACACCAGGAAAGACUAUAAAAAACAAACAAA